rnacentral:rRNA from 2 species
AGGGUGAAGGGGUUGCAAUAAACUGGUGGCUGCGACUGUUUAAUAAAAACACAGCACUCUGCAAACACGAAAGUGGACGUAUAGGGUGUGACGCCUGCCCGGUGCCGGAAGAUUAAAUGAUGGGGUGCAAGCUCUUGAUUGAAGUCCCGGUAAACGGCGGCCGUAACUAUAACGGUCCUAAGGUAGCGAAAUUCCUUGUCGGGUAAGUUCCGACCUGCACGAAUGGCGUAACGAUGGCCACACUGUCUCCUCCCGAGACUCAGCGAAGUUGAAGUGUUUGUGAUGAUGCAAUCUACCCGCGGCUAGACGGAAAGACCCCAUGAACCUUUACUGUAGCUUUGCAUUGGACUUUGAACCGAUCUGUGUAGGAUAGGUGGGAGGCUAUGAAACCGGAACGCUAGUUUCGGUGGAGCCGUCCUUGAAAUACCACCCUGGUUUGUUUGAGGUUCUAACCUUGGCCCGUGAUCCGGGUCGGGGACAGUGCAUGGUAGGCAGUUUGACUGGGGCGGUCUCCUCCCAAAGCGUAACGGAGGAGUACGAAGGUACGCUAGGUACGGUCGGAAAUCGUGCUGAUAGUGCAAUGGCAUAAGCGUGCUUAACUGCGAGACCGACAAGUCGAGCAGGUGCGAAAGCAGGUCAUAGUGAUCCGGUGGUUCUGUAUGGAAGGGCCAUCGCUCAACGGAUAAAAGGUACUCUGGGGAUAACAGGCUGAUACCGCCCAAGAGUUCAUAUCGACGGCGGUGUUUGGCACCUCGAUGUCGGCUCAUCUCAUCCUGGGGCUGUAGCCGGUCCCAAGGGUAUGGCUGUUCGCCAUUUAAAGAGGUACGUGAGCUGGGUUUAAAACGUCGUGAGACAGUUUGGUCCCUAUCUGCCGUGGGCGUUGGAUAUUUGAAGGGGGCUGCUCCUAGUACGAGAGGACCGGAGUGGACGAACCUCUGGUGUACCGGUUGUCACGCCAGUGGCAUCGCCGGGUAGCUAUGUUCGGAAGAGAUAACCGCUGAAAGCAUCUAAGCGGGAAACUCGCCUUAAGAUGAGAUAUCCCUGGGGACUAGAUCCCCUUGAAGGGUCGUUCGAGACCAGGACGUUGAUAGGUCAGGUGUGUAAGCGCAGUAAUGCGUUCAGCUAACUGAUACUAAUUGCCCGUAAGGCUUGAUCCUAUAACA